rnacentral:rRNA from 1 species
AGUCGUAACAAGGUCUCCGUAGGUGAACCUGCGGAGGGAUCAUUACACAAAUAUGAAGGCGGGCUGGAACCUCUCGGGGUUACAGCCUUGCUGAAUUAUUCACCCUUGUCUUUUGCGUACUUCUUGUUUCCUUGGUGGGUUCGCCCACCACUAGGACAAACAUAAACCUUUUGUAAUUGCAAUCAGCGUCAGUAACAAAUUAAUAAUUACAACUUUCAACAACGGAUCUCUUGGUUCUGGCAUCGAUGAAGAACGCAGCGAAAUGCGAUAAGUAGUGUGAAUUGCAGAAUUCAGUGAAUCAUCGAAUCUUUGAACGCACAUUGCGCCCUUUGGUAUUCCAAAGGGCAUGCCUGUUCGAGCGUCAUUUGUACCCUCAAGCUUUGCUUGGUGUUGGGCGUCUUGUCUCUAGCUUUGCUGGAGACUCGCCUUAAAGUAAUUGGCAGCCGGCCUACUGGUUUCGGAGCGCAGCACAAGUCGCACUCUCUAUCAGCAAAGGUCUAGCAUCCAUUAAGCCUUUUUUUCAACUUUUGACCUCGGAUCAGGUAGGGAUACCCGCUGAACUUAAGCAUAUCAAUGGAAGUAAAAGUCG